rnacentral:rRNA from 1 species
GACGAACGCUGGCGGCGUGCUUAACACAUGCAAGUCGAACGGAAAGGCCCUGCUUUUGUGGGGUGCUCGAGUGGCGAACGGGUGAGUAACACGUGAGUAACCUGCCCUUGACUUUGGGAUAACUUCAGGAAACUGGGGCUAAUACCGGAUAGGAGCUCCUGCUGCAUGGUGGGGGUUGGAAAGUUUCGGCGGUUGGGGAUGGACUCGCGGCUUAUCAGCUUGUUGGGGGGGUAGUGGCUUACCAAGGCUUUGACGGGUAGCCGGCCUGAGAGGGUGACCGGCCACAUGGGGACUGAGAUGCGGCCCAGCCUCCGACGGGAGGCGGCAGUGGGGAAUAUUGCAGGAUGGGCGGAAGCCUGAUGCAGCAACGCCGCGUGCGGGAUAACGGCCUUCGGGUUGUAACCCGAUUUCGCCUGGGACGAAGCGUGAGUGACGGUAAUGGGUAAGGAGGAACCCGCUAACUCCGUG